CCGACUAGAGAGAGAGGGGGAGAGGUCCGGCGGUGGUUCUGGCUACGGUGGAGGUGUUGGUGUUGAUUUGAUGGAAUGAGUUCUGUUUGUUUUGGAUGAAAAAAUGGGUUAUGUUUGUUAAAGAGAUGGUGAUGAAGGUGGAGGUAGUUUUUUUAUGGUGGUUAAAGAGACGGUGGCGGAGGUAAUCGCAGCAGCAGCAGACGGUGGCGGAGGUAAUCGCAGCAGCAGCAGCAGCAGCAGCAGCAAGUUGCUUCCUUUUCUUUCUCUACUUUGUCUCGUAACCUUUUGCCUCCCCUUUACUUUUUGAUGAUUUGAUUUGGAUAGAUUAGGG
rnacentral:lncRNA from 1 species